UACGUAGGGUGCGAGCGUUGCCCGGAUUUAUUGGGCGUAAAGGGCGCGUAGGCGGCCACGCACGUCCGUUGUGAAAUCGCCCCGGCUCAACUGGGGCGGGGGUCAGCGGAUACGGUGUGGCUCGAGCAAGCUAGGGGGGCAAUGGAAUUCCCGGUGUAGUGGUGGAAUGCGUAGAUAUCGGGAGGAACACCAGUGGCGAA
rnacentral:rRNA from 1 species